rnacentral:sRNA from 1 species
GCUGGGCGUGGUGGCGCACACCUGUAAUCCCAGUGGCUGGAGAGGCUGAGACAGGAGGAUUGAGGAUCGCGAAUUCAAAGCCAGCCUCAGCAAAAAGUAAAGCACUUAACAACUCAGUGAGACCCUGUCUCUA